UGGCUGAGGGGCUGGGUCUAGGCUGAGGCGGGAAGGCGUGACCUCUGAUUGGCUCCUUUUGGUGGGCCUGUGUUGGGGAGGAAGAAGAACCCGGAACCAGCGCCAUUAGGGUGCUCCUGUUACCUAACAGCGGCAAGUCCCGCUUUUCUAGAAGAGGGGCAAGUAACCCAACCUCGUAUCUCUGCACCCCGAUCCCUUAUUUCUGCCCUCUGACCUCUUAUAUCUCUGUGCCCCAAUCCCAUAUUUCCACGCCCCAACCUCUUAUAUCUCUGUGGCCUGAUCCCUUGUUUCUGUGCCCCAACCUCGUAUCUCUGUGCCCUGACCCCUUUCCCGCUUUUCUGGAGGGUAAGAACCCCUGAACUGCUUCCCUCUGUGUCUCUACUCUCCCUUUUCUUUAAACUUGGCUCCUUCACUAUAGGCAAACUUCCACCCUCCAUUCCUCCUUCUUCUCCCUUAGCCUGUGUUAAGAACAUAAAACCUCUUCAACUCUCCCCUGACCUAAAACCUAAAUGCCUUAUUUUCUUCUGCAAUGCUGCUUGACCCCAAUGUAAACUCGACAGUAGUUCCAAAUAGCCAGAAAACAGCACUUUCAAUUUUUCCAUCCUGCAAGAUCUAAAUAAUUCUUGUUGUAAAAUAGGCAAACGGUCUGAGGUGCCUGACGUCCGGGCAUUCUUUUACACAUCAUUCGCUUCCUAGUCUCUGUGCCCAAUGCAACUCGUCCCAAAUCCUCCUUCUUUCCCUCCCACCUCUCCCCUCAGUCCCAACCCCAAGCAUCACUGAGUCUUUCUAAUCCUCCUUUUCUACAGACCCAUCUAACCUCUCCUAUCCUCCCCAGGCUGCUCCUCCCCAGGCUGCUCCUCGCCAGGCCGAGCUAGGUCCCAAUUCUUCCUCAGCCUCCACUCCUCCACCCUAUAAUCUUUUAUCACCUCCCCUCCUCACACCGGGUCCGGUUUACAGUUUCAUUCUGUGAGUAGCCCUCCCCCACCUGCCCAGCAAUUUCCUCUCAAAAAGGUGGCUGAAGCUAAAGGCAUAGUCAAGGUUAAUGCUCCUUUUUCUUUAUCAGACCUCUCCCAAGUCAGUGAGCAUUUAGGCUCUUUCAUCAAAUAUGAAAAACCCAGCCCAGUUCAUGGCUCGUUCGGCAGCAACCCUGAGAUGCUUUACAGCCCUAGAUCCUAAAAGGUCAAAAGGCCGUCUUAUUCUCAAUAUACUUUUUAUUACCCAAUCUGCUCCUGACAUUAAAUAAAACUCCAAAAAUUAAAUUCCAGCCCUCCAACCCCACAACAGGACUUAAUUAACCUCGCCUUCAAGGUGUACAAUAAUAGAGACAGCCAAGUAGCAAUGUAUUUCUGAGUUGCAAUUACUCGCCUCCACUGUGAGACAAACCCCAGCCACAUCUCCAGCACACAAGAACUCCAAACACCUGAACCGCAGCUGCCAGAGAUUCCUCCAGAACUUCCUACCCCAGGAGCUUGCUACAAGUGCUAGAAAUCUGGCCACCAGGCCAAAGAAUGCCCACAGCCCCAGAUUCCUCCUAAGCCGCGUCCCAUCUGUGUAAGACUCCACUGAAAAUUGGACUGUUCAGCUCACCUGGCAGCCACUCCUAGAGCCCCUAAAGCUCUAGCCCAAGGCUGUCUGACUGACUCCUUCCCACAUCUGCUUGGCUUAGCAACUGAAGAUUGACACUUCCAGAUCGCCUCGGAAGCCCCCUGGACUAUCACGGACGCCGAGCUUCAGGAUUUAAGACAGGUCAAUCAAAGUAAAGCUAAUGAAACCACAGACGUAACAAAACUGGGACCUGAUUUCUGCGGCCCCUUUUCCUGGACUGAGUCAUCCUGGUCCUAAUUAACUUACCACAACUCAAGAAACCACAGUGGCCAAAAGAAGAAUCAUAAUGGUGAUGCAUUAAUCCAUUCAAAAGGACAGAGCCCUCAUGACCUAAACACCUCCAAAAGGCCCCAUCUCCCAGCACUGCUACAUUGGAGAUCAAGUUUCCAACACAUGAAUUUGGAUGGAGACAUUCAGACCACAGCAGAUUUUCUUCUGUCCCUGCUACCCUUGAGACAGCAAGAACAACCCUUAUUCUUCCUCCUCCUCCUCUGCCUACUCAACAUGAAGACGAGUAUAAAGACCUUUUCGAUGUCUGCUUUCAUUUAAUGAAUACUCCUCAUCACCACUACAGUUCUGGCGAUGAGUAUGGGAAGGCUGACACCUGACUCAUUCCAAAGCCUACAUAUGAGAUCCUGGGACAACUGACAAAAGCCAGCAAAAAAAGGACAAUUGAAAACACUGGUUAUUUUACCAAGGCUGUUACUGAAAUGUCAUAGUUUCAGAUAUGAUUAGACUGCCUUGAGGAAAGGAAGUUGGUUGACUCUUCUGGAGCCAAUAAAAAGACCCUUGGAAAAACUGGCCUGGUAUCUUGUCCAUACAGUUCUCUGACAUGCUUCCUAACCUUGUGGUAUUCAACAAUUAACACACCAAGGUCCAGCCCUUAUACCUACUCUCUUACACACACACACACACACACACACAAACAAGCACAUAUACAGACUUAAAAGUUCAGUCUUGUCUUGAUUCCAAAACACAACAAACAUGUAUCAAGAAUCUCCACACCAGAAUCUAGAAAGAAUGAACUUCACGCUUAUAUCUACUGUCUUUCACACACACACACAAAUAUGCACACAUACAUAAUUAAAAGUUCAGUCCUGUCUUUAUUCCAAAGCACAGCAGACAGGUAUCAAGAAUCUCCACAUCACGAUCUAGAAGGAACGGACUUCAGCCGGUCACACAGACUUAGUGGACCAGUGUAAAUUGCUAAGGUUUUCAUAAAGCUCCUGAAGAGAUUCAGGACGUGCUACCUCACACUAUUCUAAGUAAAGAAAUUUCAGAAGACCACAGAAGCGAGAAGGUCAUUCUCUCCUUCCCAUAAUCUUUCCCUGAAGCAGAUCAUAAAAGCUAGAAAGGGUUCUCUGACCUCCUCCUGAAGCGGAUCAUAAGACCUUCAUCUGGGAAGUGGCCUCCCUCCGCCUGGAAGAAGAGAGAAUUCUCAUCUGUGAAGACACAGGGACAAAGAGAAUAAUCUUGGCAAGUAACAGGCCUUGCUAAGCUCCCUUCAGUUUAUUACCAAUAGGUCAUAUUUUGUAUCCAAUCAGACUUCUCCAUGAUUAUCCACCUUUUUAACAGACUUAGCCAAAAAAAAAAACCAUAGGUUUUCCCAUUUUUUCAUAUCUUCAUUGCCUAAUGACGGUAGCAUCUGUAGAGUAAAUGAUUACAAAGCCAUUAUUAUAGUUUUAAUAUAGUUAUUUCAACAGUUUCUUGCCAGAAACCUAAUAAUUCUUUGUAGUGACAUGAAAACCUUUUGGGUGAUUGACAGUGCUUCCCUCUUUGGUUCAUUGUACUGUUAAUUGUUAGUAAUGAUUUCUCCCGCAAGUUGCCAAAAAAAAAAAACCCUCAAACAACAUAAACAACCAAAGAAUAUUUAUAUUUUCCUAUAAAUAGAAAUCUUAAAAAUUACUUUUAGAUUGUACAAUUCAGAAGAUCAAUGAAAUUUCAUGAGGAAGGCAGUUUCAAUUAUCGGUUCUGCUAAACUGAGCAUAUUCACUCCCCUGUGAUCACAAAAUGGCUGCUCCAUUUUAGGCAUCACAUCCCAAGACAGCAAUGUCCAAGGAAAGGGGAGGAAUGUGUUAUAGGCCUGUGCCUGUACCCACUCCUGCUGAGGGUGAUACGGUUUGGCUCUGCGUCCCCACCCAAAUCUGAUGUUGAAUUGUGAUCCUGAGUGUUGGAGAUAGGGCCUGGUGGAAGAUAAUUGGAUCAUGGGGACAGAUUUCCGCCUUGCUGUUGUCGUGGAGUUCUCAGGAUAUCUGGUUGUUUAAAAGUGUGUAGCACUUCCCCCUUUGCUUUCUUACUCCUGCUGCAGCCACGGAGGAGACGCCGGCUUCCCCCUUCACCUUCUGCCAUGAUUGUAAGUUUUCUGAGGCCUCUCCAGCCGUGUUUCCUAUACAUACUAUGGACUCGUGAGCCAAUUAAACCUGUUUUCUAUAUAAA